rnacentral:rRNA from 1 species
GACGAACGCUGGCGGCGUGCCUAAUACAUGCAAGUUGAGCGCUGAAGGUUGGUACUUGUACCAACUGGAUGAGCAGCGAACGGGUGAGUAACGCGUGGGGAAUCUGCCUUUGAGCGGGGGACAACAUUUGGAAACGAAUGCUAAUACCGCAUAAAAACUUUAAACACAAGUUUUAAGUUUGAAAGAUGCAAUUGCAUCACUCAAAGAUGAUCCCGCGUUGUAUUAGCUAGUUGGUGAGGUAAAGGCUCACCAAGGCGAUGAUACAUAGCCGACCUGAGAGGGUGAUCGGCCACAGUGGGACUGAGACACGGCCCAAACUCCUACGGGAGGAAGCAGUAGGGAAUCUUCGGCAAUGGACGAAAGUCUGACCGAGCAACGCCGCGGGAGUGAAGAAGGUUUUCGGAUCGUAAAACUCUGUUGGUAGAGAAGAACGUUGGUGAGAGUGGAAAGCUCAUCAAGUGACGGUAACUACCCAGAAAGGGACGGCUAACUACGUG